AUACUUCAUUUCAAUUGAAUUCAAUUUUAAUUAAAAUUGUGUUCAUGAAGUAAAAUUUUACAAAACAAAAAAGUAGUGAAGAAUUGUAUGCUGAUGUCGAUAAUAAUUUGCAACCAAACGGUGAAUUUGCAACAAAAUGGUACCAACUCAUAUAAGUCGGAGAAUAAACAAAGGCUUUGAAUAAAAGUAGUUACUCAAUGAAAGGGUUGGCAGAAAAAAUAUAAAAGUAGUAUGAAACACAAAACAUAACGAACAAACCUAACAAAGCAAUUGAAGAUUCAACAAAUGUAAAUAUUUUCAUAAGCCGGGUAUGCUAUGUAACUAACCGAGUGAUGGUGGUAGUGGAGAAUUGUGUGUGAAGGAGUUUCGAGUUGAGCAGAGGUUCUGGUAUGCGCUGGUUGGAGUGGAUUGACGUACACAAUUUUAUAUAUUUAAUUCUUGCUAAGCAAAUCGACAACAGAAUCACUUUAAGGAGUAAAAUUUCACUAAUUAAUUGGAACAGCACGCACAAAAGUAUGAAAUGGAUUAUACAACUAGUCGAGUAUAACUGGCACACUUUUAGGCGCACAAUAUAUUUAGUUAUGCAACAAAUUUUGCCCACGGAGUUCUAACGGCCUACUUAUUUACACAGUGCGGUGGGUAUAUAUCUUAAUACGCGGUUAUAAUUGCGGGAUCCAUAUUCGGUUUCUGUGAGGAGGGUAUUGCUGCAUGUUUGGUGAAGAAGUACAUUGGCGGUAGCUUAAAUCUACAUCUAUACAAUAUAUUCUAGAUUAUAAAUCAGUUGGAGAAAAUUGAAAAAUAAAGUUUUCAAAGUGAAAUUAUAGACGUACAAAAAUAAAAAGAAGCACGAUGGGUAAUCACAGGAAAAAAGCCGUAAGUAGGCUAUUCGAUUUGCCCAACUGACUCUUAGCAAAAUGAUACGCUAUGUACAAACAAUUGAAAAUGAAGCUAAACACACAACAAACACAUAAAACUGAAAUAAAUUCAAAAUUUGUGUUGAUUUCUGUCAAUAUAUAAUUCAAGCGUCCUAAACAUAGGUAGUGAUUACACAUUUACAAUAUAUAAUGUACAACAGGCUGUUUAUGGUAUAUAUUAUAUAAGAGCUAAAGUCUUAACCUUCCAUUCCAUGGCAUUAACACACAGUUUUGAUGCGUGGAAAAUCUGUAUUUUUGAACAAACGGAAAUAUAUGCUCAUCGUUGGAAUUCAAGCGCUCUAUUUUGAACUAACAGAUUGAGAAAUCCUAGAGAGUAAGGUGUUGAAAUCAUCCAGUUUAGACAAAAGCAGAAAGCGGUCAGUUUUAAUACAGAUCGUAAGACUAAGUUUUUUCCCAUGAAAUUUGUAAGCUUCAGUUUAAAUUUUUCUGAAACGUUGGAAAAAAUUACGAAAUUUUUAUAGCUUAAAGCUACGUAAAUAUCACAUCGGCUCUUUCUGUAACCCUCACAACUUUAAGGUAGAAAGUUUACGAAGAAACGAUCAGUGCGAUAAGAGGAAAAAAAGAGAGUAUAAGAGAAAGUUAUUUAAGAUCGGUAUUUAAAGCCACGAGCAACCGGGUUUCUAGCAAAUGUCAUAAUCGGAUAUAAUUAAGCAAAUAAAGCAAAGAUGAAACAUUAUACUCUCAAAUUUCUGAAUAUAAUCCGAACCUAAUUAGGUGUCAGGUAAUCAGAUCUCAAAAUUAGUUCAUUCACAUUGUUCUAAUUUUAAAAAAGUAGCUAGAUAAAUUUAUUUGCAUUAACCAUCUCAAUUCUCUGACUACAAAACUUAGUUAAGAACUGGAGUUUAGCGAAAUACUUUUUAAUUAGUCACUUCUUUAGAGGAAUCUUUUAUAAAUAAAGCCAAAGUUAGGCAAGCAAACGAAAGUCAGUAGGCCUUAACCCUAAAUUACUCACAAAAAUACCGAAAAACCAACAGAAGAAGUAAAUUAAUACAAGCUAUACUACUCUUUACAGGUGCAUUUCCUGUACUAUAAAAUAUUUUUAUCUUGAUCUUGAACGAUCAGUUUGUAUGGCAACUAUAUGCUAUAGGGAUUUAUGUAUAUACUUCAUAGGGUCUCCGACGUUUCCUACUGGGUGUUACAAACUUCGUGGAAAAUUAAAUGUACCUUGUUCAGAGUAUCAAAAUAGUACCAUUUGAAUUUUUUUUCGAGAAAAUUUGUUAAAAUAUUUAUAAUUUUUUAACCGAUUUCGAUUUAUAUCAAUUUAAAGUAUUUAGAACUUUCUUAAAAGUAAAUAUAUUUUCAAAUCUUAUAACGACUGUCUGAAGUAUUACAUAAAUUUGUCAUGCUUUUAGACACACUGGCAGAAUGACAACAGCGUUCAUUAAGUACAUAGCUGUACCGAAAUCUUACGACAGGUCUUUAUCGUUAUAAUGCAAAGGCUGUCGGAAAGCUUUUAUUCAAGAGAGAGAUAAAAAACGUAGAAUACACAACAUUCUAAAAAGAAAAAUAAUAAAUUAUGAAGAAGAAAACAAAAUAUAUUCAAAGAAGCAAACAACAAAUAAGCCACAGCAGAUACAAGUAAAUGUAUAAACAAAUUGCUGGAAUUCGCCAAGCCAAAAGCAUUAAUAAUGAAUGUAGCGAUCGCUCACGGAUGCAGCAGGACAAGAAGCUAAGCGGGGGUGGAGCGGAUCGGCGUAUAUUUUUGCACAUCAAAGAGUUUGCCAGAUUUAUAGUAAACAGAUGUUGUAUGUACAUUGGAGUAUUUAAUGAAUUUUGUCGUUAAAAGUACAGUAGAAUGUUUUCUUUCACUUUCUGUACAAAAAAAAACUUUUGGGAGCGGUGUGUACAAGUAUUUUGAUUGUUCAUUAAAGAUUUUCCUAUAAAAGAA